rnacentral:rRNA from 1 species
AGCCGGAGGAAGGUGAGGAUGACGUCAAGUCAGCAUGCCCCUUACGCCCUGGGCGACACACGUGCUACAAUGGCCGGGACAAAGGGUUGCGACCCCGCGAGGGCAAGCUAACCUCAAAAACCCGGCCUCAGUUCGGAUUGCAGGCUGCAACUCGCCUGCAUGAAGCCGGAAUCGCUAGUAAUCGCCGGUCAGCCAUACGGCGGUGAAUCCGUUCCCGGGCCUUGUACACACCGCCCGUCACACUAUGGGAGCUGGCCAUGCCCGAAGUCGUUACCCUAACCGCAAGGAGGGGGAUGCCGAAGGCAGGGCUAGUGACUGGAGUGAAGUCGUAACAAGGUAGC